CAGGCAACCUUAGAGGUCCUACAGCCACAGCAGUAACAUUCAUGCAGUUGGCCUGGAAGGAGUGGUGAUGAAAGCACUGAGUACAACAGGAAAGUGUCAUUGAUUGCUGCAGUGGGCAGUCAGGAUCCUUAGCUUGACCUAUGCCAUGGCAGUCUCUGAAGACAGCUCUUUUAAAGAGAGCCAAAUACAACUUCUGGUGUCCUUCCUGUAAAGAAGACCUGCAAGAGAGAAGAUGGAAUGGGAAGAAGUCUGCAAAGUGGGUGCAGUGCCUCAAUGAUUGAUACCCAGGCACUCCCGGUGGCUGACUGCUCCUGGGGAGCAGUAGAUUUCUGUAUUUCCUGUUCCAGUGGCUGCUUGUGGGAGCAACAGCUCCAAGGAGAACAAUUGCUGAGAGGAGCUCUGACAGAAUUAUAAGCAAGCUAAAAUAUCUGAAGAAUUCAUGUGUGAAGUAUUUAAAUGAGCAGAGGAAGACUUCUUCUUCAUCAAACUUAAAGCAAUGAAGCUAAACAUUUGAGGAGACAAAAAUAGUAUAUUGAUAUCCAUUCAUCUGCUGUGUCUGUGAAUCCACAAAGAAACAAGUUCCUAUUUUCAGAGGCUUUUCCUUUUCCUAACUGGAUUUACCAAACUUAAGUUUGUAAAAGGGUUUUGUUGUUGUUUUGUUUUAAAUAUUUUCUGUGUCUUAA